rnacentral:rRNA from 1 species
CUACGGGGGGCAGCAGUGGGGAAUAUUGGACAAUGGGCGCAAGCCUGAUCCAGCCAUGCCGCGUGAGUGAAGAAGGCCCUAGGGUUGUAAAGCUCUUUCAGUGGUGAAGAUAAUGACGGUAGCCACAGAAGAAGCCCCGGCCAACUCCGUGCCAGCAGCCGCGGUAAUACGGAGGGGGCUAGCGUUGUUCGGAAUUACUGGGCGUAAAGCGCGCGUAGGCGGACUGGUCAGUUGGGGGUGAAAUCCCGAGGCUCAACCUCGGAACUGCCCUCAAUACUGCCAGUCUCGAGUUCGAGAGAGGUGAGUGGAAUUCCUAGUGUAGAGGUGAAAUUCGUAGAUAUUAGGAGGAACACCAGUGGCGAAGGCGGCUCACUGGCUCGAUACUGACGCUGAGGCGCGAAAGCGUGGGGAGCAAACAGGAUUAGAUACCCGAGUAGUC